ACUGGAAUUCAACAGAGAGUGACAGGCAAUACCUAAAGCAAGAAAGGAGUAGGAAUUGAGCCAGAUCAUUUGGCCAGAAUCGGCUUGGAGCUGAGACUACCCUCCCAAUAUGGGGAAAAGCUUUAAAGAAAUAAACCACGAAGAGGUCAGUUGCUGCAAGGAAAUGAAUUCUGCAAACAACCACAAGAACCUGGAAGAAGAUCUUAGGCCUUAAAUGAGACCACAACCCCAGCAGACACCUUGAUUACAGCAUUAGGAAACCCUGAGCAGAGACCCAGCAACACCAUACCUAGACUUCUAAUCUAUAGAAACUGUGAGAUAAUACAUUUAUAUUUUUAAACCAUUAGUUUUGUCAUGAUUGUUAUGUAGCAGUAGGAAACCAAAACAGGAUCAAAAGACUUUUUCUUUUAAAGCAACCUCCUUAAACCUGGAAAAAAAACACAAAUAUUCCACCUAAUUUUUUCCUGAAAAUCCUUUCUAAAUAUGUUGUAUGUUUGUUCCAAAUCUCUGGAUUUUCUGAGACUUAAAGACACAGGAGUUAGAAGUAGCUUUUUCCUUAGAUUCUCCACAAGCAAGACUCUCAAAGGUAAAGAUCUCAAUAACCCGUCUGAUACUAGUGAGGUUGCCUAGCAACCAUCUCACUCCACCACCCUGGAGCUGCUGAGCGCAUCAGUUUCAAGGGCAACUAAAUCUCAGAUCAAUAAUUAAGACAGAAAAUGAAGAUAAAAGGAGAAAAUUUUAGUGGAGUACGCCAUGGGUAAAUAGGAUUCAGAUAUUAAAAGACAAAAUUACUGCAUAGGGCCUCUUAUUUAUUUUCUUUACUGAAACACAUGUAUGCAAAAAAACUUCAAAGAAAAAAAUUCAUCAUUACCAACCUCACAAAUAUUUUUGAGCUAACCAUGAAAAAUGGUCACCCAGGAGAAGCUAUGUGUUGAUACAGGACUGAAAAUAGCUUAAAAAAUCAUCUAGCUCAUUCCAUGCCCAUUUUUAAUGUAGGAAAAUAAGAAAAAUAAAUAAAGCAAAGGCAAGAAGCAAAUAAAAAAGUUUAGAAAACAUAAAACCAAAAAUAGUAAAUGACUUAUUCAAGAUGCAACAAGGGUUAGGAACUUAGUUGUUACUAGAACCCACAACUUCAGAUGACAGCCUUAUACUCAAGUAUUAUGCUAUGGUUGAAAAACCACGGGAUUGGGAGAGGAUAAACUGAGUGGGCCUUCCAGCCCUACCACUUCCUGAUGAUAUCAUCUGGAAAAAAUUUCCUGUUGAUUUUAAAGUUUAAUUUACUCAUCAAUAAAAAUCUGGAUAAUCUCUUAAGCAAUUAUAGUUAUCGUUAGCCAAUUUGUACAAAUAAAAUGAACUCCUGA
rnacentral:lncRNA from 10 species